GGAGCGGAAAAGCGCACUGCGCGGCGUGAGCUGGCGGGCCGCAGCAUAGCAACCGAACAUGGCGGCUGCGCAGGCGCCGCCAGUCAGUGGCCAGGAGCGGCGGCGGCAGCAACAGGAGGCGAUCUCGCGAGAGGCGAGGCCAAAACCCUGCCUCGCUAGCGCAGGGAGAAGUCGCACCAGUCGGAGCGCAGAGGGACACGCAGACAUUUCAGCAGAGGCCUCAAAGGCAGAACAAAAUAGUGCAAGGAGCCGCACAUCCGCACAGUGCUGAGACCCUGCCCAGGACAAGCUUGAUCCUGGCACCCAAGUGACAACCUGCAUUGAAAAGGCGGAACUUGGCUCUCCUGCCCUGCCAGCUGUAAGAGCUUGAAAGCAAAGCUAUGGGGGGAAUGUCUUUCAUUUCCCCCUGGAAGCUGGGAGGACGUUCAGCUUAGCAUUGCCAACUGUGUAAUGUGGACUUGCCUCUAAAAGAAGCCUUUUUCCUUGGAUGUCUUUCAGGCCGCAGUAUUCCCUUUGGCACCCCCACCCACCUGGAACAAAGCCUGAUGUAAAGUCUGGGUGCGACUCAGACCGGCCUGGGAAAGAAUUUAUUUAAUAAAUGGUGGAAAGUGGCUUCCUUGACGUGUCUUCGAUGGCUUUUUUAUAAAGCAUUUGGUUUGUCUACUCGUCUGUUUUUGCGCCAUCUCUUUCCACAAAGAUGGCUUAUAGCAGGGAUACUUACAACAAAAUGAUGCUGGGAAAACAAAAACAAAGAAGUAGAGAAUUAGGCCUGAGAAAACUAGGAGUAGAGAGUCACGAUUAGAUACAGAGGAGCAUAGAUGUGUAGUCUAGGAAGGCCAACUAAUUGUUAUAGCUGAAAUUCAAAUUCAGUUAGCUAAAAUGUUCCUAGUGUCAAAGGAAGAAUGGGCCACACAGUUGCAUAAUCCUUAGUAUUAGGGAGAAGGAAAAGGUUCCAGUUAUUCAGAGGGAUGUUCUCUUGCCUUAUUCCUUUAAUAAGUAUCUGUUAAAGGCCCACCAUGUGCCAAGCACCAUGCCCGGCAAGCACUGCACUCACCCCCCAGGAACUCAGUGUCUAAAGGAGACUGGGUGAAAGAACUAUAUUUGUGUGCCUAUGAUGUGUCAAAUACUAUGCAUUUAGUUAUGCAGUUACUGUAUGUUAGACACUAUGCAUUUAAUUAUUUACCUGCUGUAUAUCAGACACCAUGCAUUUUCAUUUAACCCUCAUAAGCACUUACAUCAAGUAGACACUGUUACCUCUUUUUUACAG
rnacentral:lncRNA from 10 species